rnacentral:rRNA from 1 species
GAUGAACGCUGGCGGCGUGCCUAAUACAUGCAAGUCGAGCGAACAGAUAAGGAGCUUGCUCCUUUGACGUUAGCGGCGGACGGGUGAGUAACACGUGGAUAACCUACCUAUAAGACUGGGAUAACUUCGGGAAACCGGAGCUAAUACCGGAUAACAUAUUGAACCGCAUGGUUCAAUAGUGAAAGGCGGCUUUGCUGUCACUUAUAGAUGGAUCCGCGCCGUAUUAGCUAGUUGGUAAGGUAACGGCUUACCAAGGCAACGAUACGUAGCCGACCUGAGAGGGUGACCGGCCACACUGAAACUGAGACACGGUCCAGAUCCCUACGGGAGGCAGCAGUAGGGAACCUUCCGCAAUGGGCGAAAGCCUGACGGAGCAACGCCGCGUGAGUGAUGAAGGUCUUCGGAUCGUAAAACUCUGUUAUCAGGGAAGAACAAAUGUGUAAGUAACUGUGCACAUCUUGACGGUACCUGAUCAGAAAGCCACGGCUAACUACGU